AGAGUUUGAUCCUGGCUCAGGACGAACGCUGGCGGCGUGCCUAACACAUGCAAGUCGAGCGGAGAUUGCAGCAAUGUAAUCUUAGCGGCGGACGGGUGAGUAACGCGUGGGCAACCUACCUAUAACUGGGGGAUAACACAGGGAAACUUGUGCUAAUACCGCAUAACAUCACGAGAUGACAUCAUUUUGUGAUCAAAGGAGCAAUCCGGUGAUAGAUGGGCCCGCGUCCGAUUAGCUAGUUGGUGAUGUAACGGACCACCAAGGCGACGAUCGGUAGCCGAACUGAGAGGUUGAUCGGCCACAUUGGGACUGAGACACGGCCCAGACUCCUACGGGAGGCAGCAGUGGGGAAUAUUGCGCAAUGGAGGAAACUCUGACGCAGCAACGCCGCGUGAAGGAUGAAGGUUUUCGGAUCGUAAACUUCUUUGAUUGGGGACGAAUAAUGACGGUACCCAAAAAACAGCC
rnacentral:rRNA from 1 species